ACAGCAGUCGCCGCGGGAAUACGUAGGUCCCGAGCGUUGUCCGGAUUUAUUGGGCGUAAAGCGAGCGCAGGCGGUUAGAUAAGUCUGAAGUUAAAGGCUGUGGCUUAACCAUAGUACGCUUUGGAAACUGUUUAACUUGAGUGCAAGGGUGGAGAGUGGGAUUCCAUGUGUAGCGGUGAAAUGCGUAGAUAUAUGGAGGAACACCGGUGGCGAAAGCGGCUCUCUGGCUUGUAACUGACGCUGAGGCUCGAAGGCGUGGGGAGCAAACAGGAUUAGAUACCCCAGUAGUCCCUGUCUCUUAUACA
rnacentral:rRNA from 1 species